CUAAAAGAAACUGGUAGUCAGUGUUCUUCUGCUCUACAAGAUGAGCUUGAUAUGCUACAGGAAGAAAAUGAAAGUCUACUCGAAAAGCUGUGCAAGUCAAGACGGUUUUCUUCAGCUUUUGAAGCACUGAGUUAAUGCUUGGGAGUGCUGCAAUAGUAAUCUCCAAACAAUCAAUGUGGUCAAAUUGAGUGCUUGUCAUGCGGAUAUUGCUGUUGCAACACAUUCAUUCAACAGAGAAGACGUUAUUCUAGGGAGAAAAUGUAA